UACGAAGGGGGCUAGCGUUGCUCGGAAUCACUGGGCGUAAAGCGCACGUAGGCGGCUUGUUAAGUCGGGGGUGAAAUCCUGGAGCUCAACUCCAGAACUGCCCUCGAUACUGAUGAGCUCGAGUCCGGGAGAGGUGAGUGGAACUGCGAGUGUAGAGGUGAAAUUCGUAGAUAUUCGCAAGAACACCAGUGGCGAAGGCGGCUCACUGGCCCGGUACUGACGCUGAGGUGCGAGAGCGUGGGGAGCAAACAGG
rnacentral:rRNA from 1 species